UACGGGGGGAGCAAGCGUUGUUCGGAUUUACUGGGCGUAAAGGGCGCGUAGGCGGCCACCGCAAGUCAGUUGUGAAAGCUCUGGGCUUAACCCAGAAAGGUCAGCUGAUACUGCGGGGCUAGAGUGCAGAAGGGGCAACUGGAAUUCUCGGUGUAGUGGUGAAAUGCGUAGAUAUCGGGAGGAACACCAGUGGCGAAGGCGACUUCCUGGCCUGUUCUUGACGCUGAGGCGCGAAAGCUAGGGUAGCAAACGGG
rnacentral:rRNA from 1 species